GUUACUAAGGAGCCAGGUCACUCCCUAUUCUAGCCUUUGCAAGAUAUAUUCGCCCAACUAGCCUCAACCCCACCACACUUUUCUUCCUGCUUAUAAGGAGCUCCCUUGGUAAUCUCUUUCCCAUACCAUUCCUUGACUUCCAACUCCUCUUCCUUGACUGAAGCAACUGAGCUGUUUUUUUUCCUUCUUUUCCAUUUCGUAGGAUUCAUACCAGCCACUCCUGCAUUUUCACUUUGGUUUCCAACUGCAUUCCCUGAGUUUUUUUUUUUUCCUUUCCUUCUGCAAAUCCAAAAGCCCAUACUUCAAAAAUCAACUAAUGGCAUCCAACUCUAUGACUUCUUCACGUACCUCUGGCUCCUCUUGGACGCCCAAGCAAAACAAACUAUUUGAAAAGGCACUGGCAAAGUAUGACAAGGACACCCCUGACCGCUGGCAGAAUAUUGCCAAGGCCGUGGGUGGGAAAUCUGCGGAGGAAGUGAAAAGGCACUAUGAAAUCCUCAUAGAGGAUGUCAAGCACAUCGAGUCCGGCAAAGUUCCAUUUCCCAAUUACAGGUGAAGUGGGCAUGGCCAUGAAAUGAUGAACAGAGCCCUCUGAGGUAUCUAUCCAAGACACAGAAGCAGAAGCAGAAUUACUGAAAAAUAUUGUGUCCAUGUCUUUUCUUGUUUUGUCUUCCAUUGUGCUGCUAAAUUAAUGUAAUGGUUCUAUAUAUGAAUGAAGUAUUAUCAUAUGAA